rnacentral:rRNA from 1 species
GACGAACGCUGGCGGCGUGCUUAACACAUGCAAGUCGAACGGAAAGGCCCUGCUUUUGUGGGGUGCUCGAGUGGCGAACGGGUGAGUAACACGUGAGUAACCUGCCCUUGACUUUGGGAUAACUUCAGGAAACUGGGGCUAAUACCGGAUAGGAGCUCCUGCUGCAUGGUGGGGGUUGGAAAGUUUCGGCGGUUGGGGAUGGACUCGCGGCUUAUCAGCUUGUUGGUGGGGUAGUGGCUUACCAAGGCUUUGACGGGUAGCCGGCCUGAGAGGGUGACCGGCCACAUUGGGACUGAGAUACGGCACAGACUCCUACGGGAGGCAGCAGUGGGGAAUAUUGCACAAUGGGCGGAAGCCUGAUGCAGCAACGCCGCGUGCGGGAUGACUGCCUUCGGGUUGUAAACCGCUUUCGCCUGUGACGAAGCGUGAGUGACGAUAAUGGGUAAAGAAGCACCGGCUAACUACGUG